rnacentral:lncRNA from 1 species
GAGCAUUUUCCUCCUUGAAGCUGGUGCACCUCCUUUUGCAUUUCUGGAGUGGGGUGGGGGAACACACCCCUGACCCUUGCUUCCAGACUUCUCGGCCAUCUCACCGAGUCCUCAUGUUUUAGCGUCAGGAUCUCCAUAUCAGACAUCAGAACCGAGAGUGGCAAGAGCCAGGGCACCGUAGUCGCUUGCCUUUAACCCUUCACGGGGCCCCAGUCCUGGGCAUUUCAAUGGCUCCUUUCUCUGGCGCUCAAUGAAACAUUCUUCCGAGCAGAUUAUUGAAAGCAGAGCUCUAGGCCCACAAUGGGCGCUCUGUGCUCACAGCCGCUGCCCAAUCUGUUUGCCCAGCUCGACUGCGGCCUCGCCUCUCCGCACACUCCCGCCCGCCGCCGCCCGACCCCGGCCCCACCUCGAGGCCAGCUCAAAGGGAGGCCGUAUGAAAGGACUUGUUCUCCACCUUCUCAGAAGUUCCCGCCUUGGCCUCUGCCAGCCUUGGGAGGAAUUAGCCCGAUGGGACCCAGGCCUGCCUCCGGCCCAUCCAUCCGGGGCUCUGCCCACUUUUAUGUCUGGAGAUUUCUUUUCUUUUUUUGAAUAUAUAUUUUAUUUAUUUAUUCAUGAGAGACACAGAGAGACACAGAGAGACAGAGAGAGAAGCAGGCUCCAUGCAGGGAGCCCGACAUGGGACUCAAUCCCAGGACUCCAGGAUCACACCCUGGGCCGAAGACAGGCACUAAACCACCGAGCCACCCAGGGAUCCCCCUAUGUCUGGAGAUUUCUGUCCUCACUGGUCAAUGGGUUUCUCUCUCUCACUCUCCCUCUCUUUCUCUCUCUCUCUCUCUCACACACACACACACACACACCAGGUGGGACUUUCAGAGAAAGAGAUGAAGCCCCAGAGAAGCAGACUGAGAUCUGGGGUCACUUGGCUGAUCCAGAGAUCCAGAGAAGUAGAGGGGCUCCAAAAAGCGAGGGUUCCAGGCUGCCCACUAGCAUCCCCUCCCGGGUUCAGGGAAGGAAACAGUUCCCCGAGUGAGAGCCCUGGAGCUGAUGGCUGUACUCCAGCCUAGCCCUGCCAUUUGCUAGCUGUGUGACUUAGCUACCUAAGUCGACCUCUUAGUGCCCUGGUUUUCUUAUUUGUAAAGCAGGAAUAAUUAUAGUAGUUACCUCAUCA